GGGCCCGCACAAGCGGCGGAGCAUGCGGAUUAAUUCGAUGCAACGCGAAGAACCUUACCAGGGUUUGACAUCCUGCGAAUCUCUUGGAAACUUGAGAGUGCCUUCGGGAGCGCAGUGACAGGUGGUGCAUGGCUGUCGUCAGCUCGUGUCGUGAGAUGUUGGGUUAAGUCCCGCAACGAGCGCAACCCACGUCUUUAGUUGCCAGCAUUUAGUUGGGCACUCUAGAGAGACCGCCGGUGAUAAACCGGAGGAAGGUGUGGAUGACGUCAAGUCAUCAUGCCCCUUACAUCCUGGGCUACACACGUACUACAAUGCUACGGACAAAGGGCAGCAAACUCGCGAGAGCUAGCAAAUCCCAUAAACCGUGGCUCAGUUCAGAUCGUAGGCUGCAACUCGCCUACGUG
rnacentral:rRNA from 1 species